CCAUAAUAUUCUAAAAUAAAACUGUACUUAAAUCUGAAAAAAACGACAUUCUAGGAUAAUGGGAACAGGGGCAGUCACUGAUAUUGAUAGUUUAAUGUAUACCUAUAAGCAAAGAUAAACCAUUGAUUUCGAUAAAACGAUUCUGAGCGGAGUUCAGUUGAUAAUGAUGCUUUGUCAACAAUAUAUAUGUAAUUUUAUACUACAAUAAUUAAAUAGGUUUUAUUUAUUUUUUUUAAUAAUAUUUGUUUAAUGUUGUACCUCGGUUUUCCUACAUUUUUCCAGGUUUUCCCAUAUUUUUCCUAGUUUUUCACAUUUGCUGAGAAAAUCGAUAAACAACGUCUCUAAAGUACCUCACCAAUGAAAUUUCUUUUUAGAAAAAUAGCUGUCAUUAAAAGUUUGAGCAAAAUUCCUGGUAGAAAAGUUGUCCACAGGAAAAAAAAAACAUUUUAGUAAAACUAUAAGUUUUUUCGCUCCACUCAGAAUCUAAAAUAAAUACGGACGAAGCCGAGUAAUUCAG